UUUCGGAUCAUAGACGGCGGCAACCCGCAGGAAACGCGUCUUUGGAUUAUCCUCCGUUUACUUCUUCACCACUUUUCCACAUAAACCCUCUUCCAUUGGAGCCCAAACAGUUAAAAAACCAAAAAACAGCGAAACGGGAUAAAGAAAAUAACCGGUUUUUCAUCCUAAAAAGUCCCCACCUGCUAGAUUUCCCUCUCCUCCUCCCUUUUCACCAUCACUCUACCCGUUUCAGAAAUACCCAUUUCGUAAAACCCCCCAAAAUCCAAAGAACACAGCGCCCUAAACCUAACCCUCUUCCAAUCGAAGCUCAGCCUAAGUUUAUCUUAGGCUUUUUCGAGUUGAAUAUUCUUAGCCUGCGUUUAAUCUCGGUUCUACCGCACUUCCGUGGAAGCUGGGCGUGCGGGGAAAAAUCAUUGAAGUCACCGUUAUUUAGGUUUGGUCAAGUUUUUAGUUCUAAUAUGGCUGCCGAUCCUCUGACAAGCUCGAAUGGAAAUGCCAAUGUCAAUGCACCACCUAAUCCGCGAAGGACUUAUCAAGUCGUUGUAGCUGCUACUGAAAAUAUGGGUAUUGGUAAGGAUGGGAAACUACCAUGGAGGUUGCCUUCUGAUCUCAAAUUUUUUAAGAACAUAACCACGACAACAUCAGAUCAUGGGAAAAGGAAUGCAGUUCUAAUGGGUCGUAAAACAUGGGAGAGUAUUCCGGCUGAGUAUCGACCUCUACCUGGUCGUCUCAAUGUUGUUCUGACUCGUUCUGGAAGUUUCGACAUUGCCACUGUCGAAAAUGUUAUAAUAUGUGGUAGUAUGACAUCUGCUUUGGAAUUAUUAGCAGCUUCGCCUUACUGUUUGUCAAUAGAGAAAGUGUUUGUUAUAGGUGGUGGUGAGAUAUUAAGGGAAGCUCUGAACGCCCCCGAGUGUGAUGCUGUCCACGUUACUGAAAUUGAGACAAACGUUGAAUGCGACACCUUCAUACCAGCUAUUGACAAGUCUAUGUUUCAGCCAUGGUACUCAUCCUUUCCCAUGGUGGAAAAUAACUUACGAUAUUCGUUCACUAGUUAUGUUCGUGUGAGGAGCUCAACCGAACCACCCAUUGAUCAGAACAAUGGUCUGGUCUCUCAUAACAAACCCGAUUCUUUUAAUAAGAACUUCUCUUUCCUACCCAAGGAGAUUUUCGAGAGGCACGAGGAGUACUUGUACCUAAAACUUGUUCAAGAAAUCAUCUCAGACGGUACUUCCAAGGAUGAUAGAACGGGAACGGGUACUUUAUCAAAAUUUGGUUGCCAGAUGCGGUACAACUUGCGCAAAACUUUUCCGCUGCUUACAACUAAGAAAGUAUUUUGGCGAGGGGUUGUUGAAGAACUUCUUUGGUUCAUCAGUGGCUCAACCAAUGCAAAGAUUCUUCAGGAGAAAGGCAUUCAUAUAUGGGAUGGCAAUGCGUCCAGAGAUUACCUCGAUAGUAUUGGUUUAAGAGAAAGGGAGGAAGGCGACUUGGGACCUGUAUACGGGUUUCAGUGGCGACACUUUGGUGCUAGGUAUACUGACAUGCAUGCUGACUACACUGGUCAAGGAUUUGAUCAGUUGCUAGAUGUUAUUAACAAGAUAAAAAAUAAUCCCAAUGAUCGGAGGAUCGUUCUUUCUGCGUGGAAUCCAUCUGAUCUCAAACUGAUGGCACUCCCGCCUUGCCACAUGUUCGCUCAGUUUUAUGUAGCGAACGGGGAGUUAUCGUGUCAAAUGUAUCAGCGCUCUGCUGAUAUGGGCCUUGGUGUUCCAUUUAAUAUUGCAUCGUAUGCUCUUCUGACGUGCAUGAUUGCUCAUGUUUGUGAUCUUGCUUACGGAGACUUCAUACAUGUGAUCGGAGACGCUCAUGUUUACCGUACUCACGUGCGGCCAUUGCAGGAACAGCUUCAGAAACUCCCCAAACCGUUCCCUGUUUUGAAAAUAAACCCUGAGAAGAAGGAUAUCGAUUCGUUCGUGGCAGCUGAUUUCGAGCUAACAGGUUAUGACCCUCAUGAGAAGAUAGCAAUGAAAAUGGCAGUAUAGAACUUGAUCUAGCUGCCCCAGCAGAUAAAGGAUACUAUGUUCCUUCUACCACAUAUUCUCCAAAUUUUGAGGUACGAGCACCAGAAGCUUUGGUUGAUAUGAUCUGCAAAUAAAAAGUGUUAAUUGGACAUACUUUAUACUUUGUCAUAUGUAGUGAGAAUCCUUUAGUCCCUGUGGUUGGUUCUAAAGUGAUUUAGGUCGGUUUUGUAUUUGCUAUAGAUUUUUUCUCAUUGAAAAAAUGGAACGGUUUCACACACGAAUACACGGUCGGUACUAUUAUAAUACCAUGCUACGUACAAAUAUAAUACAAUCUCGAUCGAUCUUUCUUGGAGUUUA